rnacentral:rRNA from 1 species
UCGUGGGUUAUCUUGUCAGGUUUAUUCCGGUAACGAACGAGACCUCAGCCUGCUAAAUAGACGGGGGUUGGAUGCGUUUCCAACCGCCCGCGUCUUCUUAGAGGGACUCCUGGCGCCUUCGAAGCCAGUGGAAGCUUGAGGCAAAAACA